UUAAUUGAAGAGUUUGAUCAUGGCUCAGAUUGAACGCUGGCGGCAGGCCUAACACAUGCAAGUCGGGCGGUAACAGGGAGAAGCUUGCUUCUCUGCUGACGAGCGGCGGACGGGUGAGUAAUGUAUGGGGAUCUGCCUGAUGGCGGGGGAUAACUACUGGAAACGGUAGCUAAUACCGCAUAAUGUCUUCGGACCAAAGCGGGGGACCUCCGGGCCUCGCGCCAUCAGAUGAACCCAUAUGGGAUUAGCUAGUAGGUGAGGUAAC
rnacentral:rRNA from 1 species